UGGGGAAUAUUGCACAAUGGGGGAAACCCUGAUGCAGCGACGCCGCGUGAGCGAAGAAGGUUUUCGAAUCGUAAAGCUCUGUCCUAUGAGAAGAUAAUGACGGUAUCAUAGGAGGAAGCCCCGGCUAAAUACGUGCCAGCAGCCGCGGUAAUACGUAUGGGGCGAGCGUUGUCCGGAAUUAUUGGGCGUAAAGGGUACGUAGGCGGCCUUUUAAGUCAGGUGUGAAAGCGUGAGGCUUAACCUCAUUAAGCACUUGAAACUGGAAGGCUUGAGUGAAGGAGAGGAAAGUGGAAUUCCUAGUGUAGCGGUGAAAUGCGUAGAUAUUAGGAGGAAUACCGGUGGCGAAGGCGACUUUCUGGACUUUUACUGACGCUCAGGUACGAAAGUGUGGGGAGCAAACAGGAUUAGAUACCCUGGUAGUCCACGCCGUAAACGAUGAAUGCUAGGUGUUGGGAGUCAAAUCUCGGUGCCGAAGUUAACACAUUAAGCAUUCCGCCUGGGGAGUACGGUGGCAACACUG
rnacentral:rRNA from 1 species